rnacentral:rRNA from 1 species
AGAGUUUGAUCCUGGCUCAGGAUGAACGCUAGCGGCAGGCUUAACACAUGCAAGUCGAGGGGCAUCGGGAGGGAAGCUUGCUUUCCUUGCCGGCGACCGGCGCACGGGUGAGUAACACGUAUGCAACCUGCCCUCUUCAGGGGGACAACCUUCCGAAAGGGAGGCUAAUCCCGCGUAUAUCGGUUUCGGGCAUCCGAGAUCGAGGAAAGAUUCAUCGGAAGAGGAUGGGCAUGCGGCGCAUUAGCUUGACGGCGGGGUAACGGCCCACCGUGGCGACGAUGCGUAGGGGUUCUGAGAGGAAGGUCCCCCACACUGGUACUGAGACACGGGCCAGACUCCUACGGGAGGCAGCAGUGAGGAAUAUUGGUCAAUGGGAGAGAUCCUGAACCAGCCAAGCCGCGUGAGGGAAGACGGCCCUAUGGGUUGUAAACCUCUUUUGUCGGAGAACAAAACCCGGGACGUGUCCCGGACUGCGUGUAUCCGAAGAAAAAGCAUCGGCUAACUCCGUG